CCUACGGGAGGCUGCAGUGGGGAAUAUUGGGCAAUGGGCGCAAGCCUGACCCAGCAACGCCGCGUGAAGGAAGAAGGCUUUCGGGUUGUAAACUUCUUUUCUCAGGGACGAAGCCAGUGACGGUACCUGAGGACUAAGCCACGGCUAACUACGUGCCAGCCGCCGCGGUAAUACGUAGGUGGCAAGCGUUAUCCGGAUUUACUGGGUGUAAAGGUCGUGUAGGCGGGACUGCAAGUCAGAUGUGAAAACCACGGGCUCAACCUGUGGCCUGCAUUUGAAACUGUAGUUCUUGAGUACUGGAGAGGCAGACGGAAUUCCUAGUGUAGCGGUGAAAUGCGUAGAUAUGAGGAGGAACACCAGUGGCGAAGGCGGUCUGCUGGACAGCAACUGACGCUGAGGCGCGAAAGCGUGGGGAGCAAACAGGAUUAGAUACCCCAGUAGUC
rnacentral:rRNA from 1 species